GACGAACGCUGGCGGCGUGCUUAACACAUGCAAGUCGAACGGAAAGGCCCUGCUUUUGUGGGGUGCUCGAGUGGCGAACGGGUGAGUAACACGUAAGUAACCUGCCCUUGACUUUGGGAUAACUUCAGGAAACUGGGGCUAAUACCGGAUAGGAGCUCCUGCUGCAUGGUGGGGGUUGGAAAGUUUCGGCGGUUGGGGAUGGACUCGCGGCUUAUCAGCUUGUUGGUGGGGUAGUGGCUUACCAAGGCUUUGACGGGUAGCCGGCCUGAGAGGGUGACCGGGCACAUUGGGACUGAGAUACGGCCCAGACUCGUACGGGGGGCAGCAGUGGGGAAUAUUGCACAAUGGGCGGAAGCCUGAUGCAGCAACGCCGCGUGCGGGAUGACGGCCUUCGGGUUGUAAACCGCUGUCGCCUGUGACGAAGCGUGAGUGACGGUAAUGGGUAAAGAAGCACCGGCUAACUACGUG
rnacentral:rRNA from 1 species